rnacentral:siRNA from 1 species
UUUUAGUUUACCACAUGAUCCU